GAAAAAAAAAAGGGGAACGCUCCUGCAGCCAACCCUAGCCGCCACCACGCCUUCCGUCAUGCGCCCUUGCCGCUGCCGCUGUCGACCCGGUUGCUGCCGCCGUCUUUGCGCCGCUGCCACGGCUAUAGCCGGAGGCCGCAGCCGUCGUCAUCCAUCGCAACCGGUGUUUCCUUUCCGUUUUCCUUUUUCCCGAGAAAAGGGUACCGAGAGGGUGUACAUGAGGAACAAGGAAAAGAAAAGCAGAGCAACGUUGAGGAAUUUCAGCAAUUUCGCAAAUUAGGGAAAUUUGUCGCAAGGUGUGGAGGAUUCCAAUGUUGGAGGAGUUGAGUCAGAUUAUCGAAGGAGUUAAGGCAAG